rnacentral:rRNA from 1 species
AUGCUCUGUAACCCAAAGCUCCGGCGCCCUAGGAUGGGUCUGCGGCCGAUUAGGUUGUUGUCGGGGUAACGGCCCAACAAGCCGAUCAUCGGUACGGGUUGUGGGAGCAAGAGCCCGGAGAUGGAUUCUGAGACAUGAAUCCAGGCCCUACGGGGCGCAGCAGGCGCGAAAACUUUACAAUGCGGGAAACCGUGAUAAGGGGACCCCGAGUGCCUGUACACGCAGGCUGUUCAGGUGUUUAAAACGCAUCUGGAGAAAGGGCCGGGCAAGACCGGUGCCAGCCGCCGCGGUAAUACCGGCGGCUCGAGUGGUGGCCACUAUUACUGGGCUUAAAGCGUCCGUAGCCGGGUCGUUAAGUCUCCCGGGAAAUCCAACGGCUUAACCGUUGGGCGUUCGGGGGAUACUGGCGAUCUAGGGAUCGGGGGAGGUGAGAGGUACUCUAGGGGUAGGAGUGAAAUCCUGUAAUCCUUGGGGGACCACCUGUGGCGAAGGCGUCUCACCAGAACGACUCCGACGGUGAGGGACGAAAGCUGGGGGAGCAAACCGGAUUAGAUACCCGGGUAGUCCCAGCUGUAAACGAUGCGCGUUAGGUGUAUCGGUGACUACGAGUUACCGAGGUGCCGAAGGGAAACCGUGA